GAUGAACGCUGGCGGCGUGCCUAAUACAUGCAAGUAGAACGCUGAAGGAAGGAGCUUGCUCUUUCCGGAUGAGUUGCGAACGGGUGAGUAACGCGUAGGUAACCUGCCUGGUAGCGGGGGAUAACUAUUGGAAACGAUAGCUAAUACCGCAUAACAGUAGAUGUUGCAUGAUAUCUACUUAAAAGGUGCAAUUGCACCACUACCAGAUGGACCUGCGUUGUAUUAGCUAGUUGGUGAGGUAACGGCCCACCAAGGCGACGAUACAUAGCCGACCUGAGAGGGUGAUCGGCCACACUGGGACUGAGACACGGCCCAGACUCCUACGGGAGGCAGCAGUAGGGAAUCUUCGGCAAUGGACGGAAGUCUGACCGAGCAACGCCGCGUGAGUGAAGAAGGUUUUCGGAUCGUAAAGCUCUGUUGUAAGAGAAGAACGAGUGUGAGAGUGGAAAGUUCACACUGUGACGGUAUCUUACCAGAAAGGGACGGCUAACUACGUG
rnacentral:rRNA from 1 species